CCGCCCGUCACACCACGAAAGCCCGCUGCAACAGAAGUCGCAGAUUCAACCCGCAAGGGAGAUAUGUGCCGAAGUUGUGGUUGGUGAUUGGGGUG
rnacentral:rRNA from 1 species